rnacentral:misc_RNA from 1 species
GUUUUCUUCAGAGAAUCCAUCGCCCAUCACCAACCACCAGGAAAUACAUCCUUGAAUAUCUUCAGGGUCUACGUGUGCCACGAGACUGAGUGUUUCUCCUUGCUCUAGCUCAAAUGACAAGGAUAAGAAAUCCCGGUUUGCUUUGAUACCAACCAUAAGGGCUUCUUCAUGAAGCCAUCGUAUCACCUGGCUGGCAACCUGCUGCAAUAGAACCAUCGGAAGAUCUGACAAGUCACAAUCAUAUCUGUUCAUAGGGCAAA